CCCGUAGCUCAGCUGGGAGAGCGCCUGGUUUGCAUCCAGGAGGUCCAGUCUCCGCAAGCGAAAGCGAGCGGGA
rnacentral:tRNA from 1 species